AUUCCAUGAUGGGGACAUAAUAGGAUGUAGUCUUGAAAGCGCUCCCAUGCUUCUGGAACAGAUUCAUCAUUUUGUUGCUGAAAACUUGUAAUCUUCCCACGGAGAGC
rfam:Sorghum bicolor cultivar BTx623 chromosome 5, whole genome shotgun sequence.